rfam:Gossypium hirsutum cultivar TM-1 unplaced genomic scaffold scaffold3143.1, whole genome shotgun sequence
UGUUAAAAAUUUUAUCCAUUUAAACGAUUAAAAACUGGCGAGGUUGUUGGAAUAACUAGACAGUGACAUGUGAUGUGUCACGUGCACCCCAUGCUGUUGUAUAGGAACCAAUUUUUAACAACAAAAAUGGAUGAAAUUUUUAACA